AUAGGACUGAACUGUGGGAGA
rnacentral:miRNA from 1 species